UUAAGAAUCUUGCGCAAUGGGCGAAAGCCUGACGCAGCGACGCCGCGUGGACGAUGAAGGUCUUCGGAUUGUAAAGUCCAGUAAGUAGGAACGAAUAAGCAACGGGUAAUAUUCGUUGUGAUGACUGUACCUACCUAAAGCCCCGGCUAACUACGUGCCAGCAGCCGCGGUAAUACGUAUGGGGCGAGCGUUGUUCGGAAUUAUUGGGCGUAAAGGGCGUGUAGGCGGGGAGGCGGGGAGUUAAGUCAGGUGUGAAAUCCAUAGGCUCAACCUGUGAACUGCACUUGAUACUGAUUC
rnacentral:rRNA from 1 species